CCUCUCAUUCUGGACAAGAGGUUAAAGAGGAGGAAGUGGACAAUGAACCCGUGGCUGUUGUUGGAGCCGCAGAGCCUGAAGAAAUUAAAUCAGACACAACAGCAGCACCAGAACCUCUUCUGGCCCCCUCUGAUUCUGGACAGGAGGUGGAAGAGAAAGAAGUGGAGAAGGAACCUGUGGCUGUUGGAAAAGUCAUGCCUGAAGGAAUGAAAUCAGUAAGUGCCAGCUUUGGUUAGCACUGCCUUUGGUGUCAUUCAGAGCUGCAAGUUCCUGAGCAGACAGUGCUUGCCAUGCAUGGCUGAAGAGUGUGAGGGCUGGAGCCCUGCCAUGACAUGGUGCUUCAGCCCAUCUGCUGACACCUGGAAAAGAGGUUUUGAACUUCCAAGUUGAGCCAGAGUGUUACUUGCAGGACACACAGCAAUAACUGUGUCCAGAGGGUAGUGUCCCCUCUGAACGGCCUAGUUGAGAAAAUGCAUGAAAAUUGAAGAGGAAACUGCCCAUGAACUCGUGUAAAUCCAGUCUUUUCUUCUCGUCCAUUCACUUUGUGAAGUGGCCAGCAAAAGACAGUUUAAGAGCCUGACUUGUGGCCAACAGCAUCUUCCCAAGGGUUUGCCUCUGAACUAUGAUCUCAGGACAUCUCUGCAAGCCACCUUUCUGACAUAAACUAAUUCUUGCCACAGAUCCUCAAGAGCUCUGCAAUGGCAGGCGCUGCUGUAGCACCACAGUCUGAAGAAGUCACCUUUCCCGACACUGAAAUUCCUCCACUCGCAAAGGAGGCAGAGUCAAGAAGGACUUGGAAAACAGCCAACGUAUGUGUGGAGGAACAAGAAACAGAAUGGCAGCAUUUCUAAGCUUGCAGAGACCUGAAUGGUUCUUGAGGAAAACACCAACUUAUGGACUUCCAUGUUUUUACCCCAGUUCUGAACCCAGUUUAAUGUACCCACACAUAUAUCUCUCUAUCAAUCCCCUUGAUUUGUACUACCCCAGACACGUCUGAACUUGUCCCCAGUUAUUUCCCACCAAAAGUUGUUUUCUCCCUUACUCUCCCCUGCCUUCCCGCUCAUCCCACACUGAUUGGCCAGAAAAUGCCGCAGUGCGGAGUGAGCUCCCAUUGGCCCCAGAUACCUGACUCCUCCCAAGUUCCUCCCUCCUUCUCCCUACUCCCCAAUCCUGUGGCACCCUGAGAUGUCCGUCCCAUGCUCCGCCCCGGUUAUCGGACCUCCCUCACGUGAACCCUACAUAAAUCCUCGUUCCUUUUAAUAAAGUAGCCAUUGCAUGCCCUCA